rnacentral:rRNA from 1 species
GAUGAACGCUGGCGGCGUGCCUAAUACAUGCAAGUCGAGCGAACGGACGAGAAGCUUGCUUCUCUGCUGUUAGCGGCGGACGGGUGAGUAACACGUGGAUAACCUACCUAUAAGUCUUGGAUAACUUCGGGAAACCGGAGCUAAUACCGGAUAAUAUUUUGAACCGCAUGGUUCAAAAGUGAAAGACGGUCUUGCUGUCACUUAUAGAUGGAUCCGCGCUGCAUUAGCUAGUUGGUAAGGUAACGGCUUACCAAGGCAACGAUGCAUAGCCGACCUGAGAGGGUGAUCGGCCACACUGGAACUGAGACACGGUCCAGACUCCUACGGGAGGCAGCAGUAGGGAAUCUUCCGCAAUGGGCGAAAGCCUGACGGAGCAACGCCGCGUGAGUGAUGAAGGUCUUCGGAUCGUAAAACUCUGUUAUUAGGGAAGAACAUAUGUGUAAGUAACUGUGCACAUCUUGACGGUACCUAAUCAGAAAGCCACGGCUAACUACGUG